rnacentral:rRNA from 1 species
UGGGGAAUAUUGCACAAUGGGCGCAAGCCUGAUGCAGCCAUGCCGCGUGUAUGAAGAAGGCCUUCGGGUUGUAAAGUACUUUCAGCGGGGAGGAAGGGAGUAAAGUUAAUACCUUUGCUCAUUGACGUUACCCGCAGAAGAAGCACCGGCUAACUCCGUGCCAGCAGCCGCGGUAAUACGGAGGGUGCAAGCGUUAAUCGGAAUUACUGGGCGUAAAGCGCACGCAGGCGGUUUGUUAAGUCAGAUGUGAAAUCCCCGGGCUCAACUUGGGAACUGCAUCUGAUACUGGCAAGCUUGAGUCUCGUAGAGGGGGGUAGAAUUCCAGGUGUAGCGGUGAAAUGCGUAGAGAUCUGGAGGAAUACCGGUGGCGAAGGCGGCCCCCUGGACGAAGACUGACGCUCAGGUGCGAAAGCGUGGGGAGCAAACAGG